AAGUCAGAGCAUUCUUAUUUCCUUCCCUUACAUGGACAUCCAAUCCAUCAAAAAAUAUUAUUGGUUCAAUCUAUAAAAUAUAUCCCAAAGCCGCCCAUUUCUCUGCAUCUCUGUCACCUUCGCCCAGGUCCAAACCACUAUUAUUUUUUGCCUACUCUAUUCUAGUAAGCACUUAUUAGUCUCUUGCUCCACUUUUGAUUUCCUGCAAACUAUUUCCCACAGAGCAGAGUGAUCCUUUGAAAUCCUAAUUUAGAUCAAGCCCUUCUCCCUGCUACCCCAAUUCCUCUUCUGGUUCUUCAGAGCUUUCUCUUACAUGUAGCAUGAGUGUCAGACUUCCCAGCUUUCUAUAGGGCCUGAUAUGACCUGACCUCUGCUUAGCUGCAUGGCCCAGGUCACACCGACCACUUCUAAAAGCACAGAGGUUUAGCUCCACUGACUUUUUCUGUUCUUUGAUCUAUUGAGUUGUUUCAGGUCCUUUGCACUUGCUCUUCUCCACCUGGAACGUGUCUCUGAUGCAGAACACAGCUACAUCCUCUUAGGCUUCAGCUCAGGUGUUUCCUCCUUGGAAAGGCCUUUCCUCACCAUCCUAUUUAAGCAACCCCUCCUCUCUCACCACUGUCUACUCAAAGUUCCAUCUUCAUCUUGUCAUUUCCUGUCAUCUAAAAUGCUUAUGAUUUUAUCUUUAAUGCUUAUGUUUACUUGUCUCCUCUCAGUUGCUAAGUACAGCGGCGUGAGGUACAAACCUCCUUUGUUUUACUUAUCUCCAGCCUUAGGAGGGUCAACAUUCCAACAUAUGUUCAACAAGCAUGAGUUAAAUGCAUUAUUUCAGAGGCCUGAACUCUGUCCGUUUGGCUUGAAAAGGAAGAACUCUGAUGGACUAGUAACACGAAAAGGGAGCAGUGGCCAAAAGAGCUACCCAAACUUCAGCAACAAACAGCACAAAGUUCAGUUGAAUGUCGAGCUGCUUUUUAAGAUCAUGGCUGUCUUCUGAAAAUCCUGAAUGUCUUGCUGAUAAUAUGUUCACAUCAGAACGCCUGAGAGAGCCAAGGCUUGCUACAUGAAGACAGCAUUUCUAAAAUUGUGUUCCAAAUAAAUAGCUUAAUUUGGAAUUUUGACUCAAAAUGUCUGAGGACUUUGCAAAAGUAAUAAAGGGUGGCACAUAAGAAA